rnacentral:rRNA from 1 species
UACGUAGGGACCAAGCGUUGUUCGGAUUUACUGGGCGUAAAGGGCGCGUAGGCGGCUUGUCAAGUCACUUGUGAAAUCUCUGGGCUUAACCCAGAACGGCCAAGUGAAACUGACAUGCUAGAGUGCAGAAGGGGCAAUCGGAAUUCUUGGUGUAGCGGUGAAAUGCGCAGAUAUCAGGAGGAACACCGGUGGCGAAGGCGGGUCUCUGGGCCGAUACUGACGCUGAGGAGCGAAAGCGUGGGGAGCGAACAGG